UACGUAGGGUGCAAGCGUUGUCCGGAAUUAUUGGGCGUAAAGAGCUCGUAGGCGGUCUGUCGCGUCGGAUGUGAAAACCCAGGGCUCAACCCUGGGCCUGCAUUCGAUACGGGCAGACUAGAGUUCGGUAGGGGAGACUGGAAUUCCUGGUGUAGCGGUGAAAUGCGCAGAUAUCAGGAGGAACACCGGUGGCGAAGGCGGGUCUCUGGGCCGAUAUUGACGCUGAGGAGCGAAAGCGUGGGGAGCGAACAGG
rnacentral:rRNA from 1 species